rfam:Paraburkholderia caribensis strain Bcrs1W chromosome 2, complete sequence.
GGGGGAUUAGCUCAGCUGGGAGAGCACCUGCUUUGCAAGCAGGGGGUCGUCGGUUCGAUCCCGUCAUCCUCCA